ACAAAAACUUUUUAUAUUCAGUUAAGAGUAGCGUUCUCAUCACAUAUAUACAUCAUUGAGGGUAAAUGACUAUCACAUAUAUACAUCAUUGAGGGUAAAUGACGCUAGUUAUAAAACAAGGUAGUUUAAUGGGGGACAUAGAAUUGUUUAAGGGUUACAGCCUUUGAUGUAGAGGAGGCAGGACAUCACACUAUAUGAAAAGAGAUGCUGGAUCCAUUGAUGUCCACAGCCUCUACUUGUUCUUCCUUUCUCAAUGUCCUCAACUCAUGAAUUUGGUUUCCAUACUUCUUGGGGGUUCCUCCUUCCCAGAAGCACGACUGUGCUAUGUUUCAUCUAACUCCUCAUCAUCUUUUUCCGGAGGAUAGAUAAUGAAGAAGAAGAAACAACGAGUUAGAGGGAUUCUCUCCUUUCAAACUUUUUUGCAAAUAUGAAACUGCAAAACAUAGUGCAUGAAGGUGGAACAAAGGUAAGGGUUCAAGGUGGGUAUUAGCUAAAUAUGAGUUAGCCAUUCCGGAUCAACAAGUGGUAAGAAAAAAAGAAGUACUGAAUAAUAGGUUUCCCUGAUCUAAUUUCUAUAACAAAAAAAAAAAAUCAAUCAAAAUUAGGUCCCAAUAAAAUGGAGUUUAAAUCUUUCUAAUGUAACCUAGACAUGCAAAAAUUAUUUGGAGAAGAAGAGAUCCAAAAUCAGUGUUCCA